rnacentral:lncRNA from 1 species
AUUAGACUUCCUUUUGGAAAAAAUAUCUAUCUCCAAGGGGACACUUUUUGCAAUGCAUCUUCAAAGCAUAUUUUGUUCAGAUUGUCUGAAGAGAAACCUCAGUAACCGAAGUCAAUUACAUCGUUGGCAGAUAUGUGAUUCCCUUUUGCCCAUCCCUGAUUUAUGCCCCUGCAGCUGACAUUCAAAUGGUAUUUCUCCUCAGCCCCCAUCCCUUCCCCUUUGUUUCAGCAUGAGAUCUCUACCCAGAGUUAAAUUUUGUCUCUGCCCUCUGGAAAGGCUGACUACUUGAGCCAUUAAUCUUGGUAUUGAAAUAAGUUCCUGGCUGCGACCGACAGUGGAAAUGAUUGAUCCUGGUGCAUCCUGGGGAAUGGUCUUCUAGGGCCAUGGCGCCAGAAAAAUCAAACCCAGAGUGACUCAGUCUGGGACUAAUGUAGCCGUUUUUCAUUCAAUAUCACCUUCCCUGGCUGCUACUGAUGAGAAAUGAUCUAAUAACUCAGGGAGCCCAAAGUGACAAAGCACUAGAGUGCAGACAGAAUGAAGCUCUGGCAGGGGUGGCCGUAAAAUCAGCUUUGGUUCAAAGGCUGGUUUCCAGCUCUUGUAGAGACCCUUGUGGGUUCUCUUUCUCCUCAGGCCAGCGUGCCCAUUCUGAUUAUGGUUUUGGUUGAGGACAGGAAGCCUUGAGUAUCCACUGUAGCCUCUAGGAGGGACACAGAUGAAGCAGAGUCAAGGUAUACAGUGGAUUCCCAGAAUUUUUAUAGUACACCUACUAUGUGCCAGGCACCUUACACACAUUAUCUUGUUGAACACAUCUGUGAUUUUGCUGUCCACCCUGGUAAGAUGGUCAGAUAAAAUCCAGGCUGUAGGUUGAAUUUAAUCUAAUUUUUAGAAAAAUAUAUUUCAUGAAAUACUUGGAA